CUGCAGCCCGAGUGGUGACCGAUUUUAUUGAGCCUAAAGCGUCCGUAGCCGGACUAGUAAACCCUUGGGUAAAUUGGGCAGCUUAACUGUCCAAAUUCCGAGGGGACUGCUAGUCUUGGGACCGGGAGAGGUCAGAGGUACUCAAGGGGUAGGGGCUAAAUCCUGUAAUCCUUUGGGGACCACCAGUGGCGAAGGCGUCUGACUAGAACGGAUCCGACGGUAAGGGACGAAACCCUGGGGCGCGAACCGGAUUAGAUACCCGAGUAGUCC
rnacentral:rRNA from 1 species